GGGAGCGGCUCGGGGUGGGUGGGGGUCCGCGGUACGGCGCCGUGAGCGCGCCGCCCGGGAAGGCUUCCGGAGGCCGCACCUAGCGUGCUGCUGAUGCCUUCUCCAGACGAGACGCCCAAACAAGGCAGCUACCACCGGAACAGAGCAAGACAACUUGUUUAUCAGACAGAGGAAUGCUCCUCAGCAGUGCAGGGCAGGAGGAAGAGGGGGCUGCUGUCUCCAGGCCCAGCGUAGGCAGUUCAGAGAUGGCCUGCAUUGUUCUACAUCAGGAUAACGAGGCGCUUCCGCAGCCCCUUUCCUGUGGGAAUCCCAACAGGUUGUUGUCCUCCCCCUGCAGGAGGGGAAGUGUGGCACCAGGGGGGUGAAAUGUCCCAUCUGACAGAUGUCUGCACUAAGUAGUACGUUCUUCUCUCCGCCUUCGGUGCUUUUCCUAGUCUUGAGCACCAGCCUUCACCUCUUCAGCCUUCCCUCCCACGGUAGAUGCAAGCAAUGUGCGAGAUAUCUCCUAAGAAUGGAGAAAUGAGACAGCUCAACGCUGCGAUUUAGUAACAGAAGCAAAAGGGGACGUUAAUGGAAAACGAUUGCAGCUCUGAGUAAGACCCAAGAUAGGAAUUUCCCUUCUCUGUAAGAAAUCAGCUCAGAUUCUGCUGAUUGGGAUGCUCGGGAAAGGAUAUGACUAGCUCAGUGGCAGGGGCUCUCUUCCUAUAAACUGCAGAGCAAGCCAGGAUAACCAACUUGCACUUCGGCUUUGUCAGACAGACCUCGCCUUCCUUCCACAGUGAGUCCUACAGGGAGGUGAACCCAGCCAGACUGAUUCACUGAGCCCUUCCAGGUGUGUGCUCAGCCAUCCACUGGCACGAGCACUGGCGAGGGCAAAGCAAGGGCCAGGCUGGUGCACAACACCAUGCUUUUUAGGACCCUGUUCCUGCAGGUCUCUAUCCACAGAGAGUAAGGCUUGAGAAGGAAGGAAGGUGCAGGUGCACGCCUGGACCUCAUCCCAGUCUGGCUUUGGGCGUCGAUGGAGUGACUGCUGUCAGUUGUGAGGGUCACUUCUGCACACAUACAGCCCCAGCUACCAAUUCCUGAGCACCUAAAUGAGAGAACCAUGCUCUCGCAGUUUGCUGGCAAGAUAUAGCCAGCAAAUUCUGGCAGUGAAUGUGGAUGCUGGUAUAUAAAGAGAGGAUUCUGCCAAUGGGACUAAAGGGUGUUGGUGCUUUUUCCAGUGCAGGUUAUUUGGCUUCGAGUACUAGUAAAAGUUGCACUAAUAAAAUG
rnacentral:lncRNA from 7 species